CCUACGGGGAGCAGCAGUGAGGAAUAUUGGUCAAUGGUCGGGAGACUGAACCAGCCAAGCCGCGUGAGGGAUGAAGGUACAGAGUAUCGUAAACCUCUUUUGUCAGGGAACAAAGGCGGGGACGCGUCCCCGGUUGAGUGUACCUGAAGAAAAAGCAUCGGCUAACUCCGUGCCAGCAGCCGCGGUAAUACGGAGGAUGCGAGCGUUAUCCGGUUUUAUUGGGUUUAAAGGGUGCGCAGGCGGUCUGUUAAGUCAGCGGUAAAAGUCCGGGGCUCAACCCCGACCCGCCGUUGAAACUGGCAGUCUCGAGUUGGAGAGAAGUAUGCGGAAUGCGCGGUGUAGCGGUGAAAUGCAUAGAUAUCGCGCAGAACUCCGAUUGCGAAGGCAGCAUGCCGGCUCCACACUGACGCUGAGGCACGAAAGCGUGGGUAUCGAACAGGAUUAGAUACCCUUGUAGUC
rnacentral:rRNA from 1 species